rnacentral:rRNA from 1 species
UACGGAGGAUCCAAGCGUUAUCCGGAUUCAUUGGGUUUAAAGGGUGCGUAGGCGGAAGAGUAAGUCAGUGGUGAAAGCCUGCAGCUUAACUGCAGAAUUGCCAUUGAUACUGCUCAUCUUGAGUACAUUUGAUGUGGGCGGAAUGUGUCAUGUAGCGGUGAAAUGCAUAGAUAUGACACAGAACACCGAUUGCGAAGGCAGCUCACAAAACUGUAACUGACGCUGAGGCACGAAAGCGUGGGGAUCGAACAGG